CUCACUCUCUCUCUCCCUCUCUUUUAAAAAGCUUUUUUUCACUUCCCUGGGGGAAACAUCUUAGCAAUUCCUGAACGCAGCUCUGAAGAUGAAGGGCGACUUAGAAACAAUGGAAUGAAGGCGGUCCCCUCCCAUCACCCCCCCUCAGCCGGGGAGGAGCGAUGCACAGUCUGUGAUCACCUUCCUUCGUUCAGCCCACCAUGUGCCUGAGCCUUCUCUGAGUUCCCAGAAGGUGGUCGGGAACAAGCUCCCUCCACUAGGCCUGGCAGCCUCCUGGGGAAGGACAGACAGUCAACAAGAAAGCAAACAAACGCAGCAACGGCAGAGAAAGCUUCGUGCUGCUCAGAGUUUGGCUUGUCUACCUGAAGGUCAGAGAAGGCUUCUCUGAGCAGCUGACCUUGAGCUGAAAACUGGACGAGAAGCCAGCUCUGCAAAGACGGCAGGGAAGUGCAUUCAGACGGAGGAACACCAAGCACAGAAACCUUGAAGUGGGAAGGAACCAGGGGCAGCCCCAGGUCCAGCCCUGCGGUGAGACAGCUGGAUGAUCGUUCUGCACUGCUGUGCCAGCGACGGGCCUCGGUGUGGUCAUGUGACUCACUUCUGACCAAGGAGGCAUCAAAGGAAGUCUGCUGGGAACUCAGGGAAAGAUUUUGCUUCCUGAUAUAAGAGAAACACACAGAGAAGACCUCCUCUCUCCCCACCCAGCCCCUUUCUUCCAGUUUGAGAGGUUGCAGUGUAAAUAACUGAUGUCUGGAGCAGCUGCAGCCAUAUUGGAACCCUGAGACAAGAGAGAUGGCAGCGUGAUACGCACUGAAUGGCCUGGUCUUCGAUAGCAUCACUGAGGGGCUGAGCCACACCGGGGAACUCAUACCUCCGGACUUCUUAAGUUAAAUGGCCUUGUCAUCUACGCCAUAGUGUGCUGGGUUUUCUGUUACCUAUAGCUGAGGCAUGCUAACCAAUCCGGUCAGUUCUUCAAAGCCACUUCUUACCCACCUCCCAAAGCUUUGCUCAAACGCCC
rnacentral:lncRNA from 10 species